CCUACGGGCGGCAGCAGUGAGGAAUAUUGGUCAAUGGACGAGAGUCUGAACCAGCCAAGUAGCGUGAAGGAUGACUGCCCUACGGGUUGUAAACUUCUUUUAUAUGGGAAUAAAAGGUUGCACGUGUGGGAUUUUGUAUGUAUCAUAUGAAUAAGGAUCGGCUAACUCCGUGCCCGCAGCCGCGGUAAUACGGAGGAUCCGGGCGUUAUCCGGAUUUAUUGGGUUUAAAGGGAGCGUAGGUGGUUUGUUAAGUCAGUUGUGAAAGUUUGCGGCUCAACCGUAGAAUUGCAGUUGAAACUGGCGGCCUUGAGUGCAGUAGGGGUGGGCGGAAUUCGUGGUGUAGCGGUGAAAUGCUUAGAUAUCACGAAGAACUCCGAUUGCGAAGGCA
rnacentral:rRNA from 1 species